UACGUAGGGACCAAGCGUUGUUCGGAUUUACUGGGCGUAAAGGGCGCGUAGGCGGCCAACUAAGUCAGACGUGAAAUCCCUCGGCUUAACCGGGGAACUGCGUCUGAUACUGGAUGGCUUGAGAUUGGGAGAGGGAUGCGGAAUUCCAGGUGUAGCGGUGAAAUGCGUAGAUAUCUGGAGGAACACCGGUGGCGAAGGCGGCAUCCUGGACCAACACUGACGCUGAGGAGCGAAAGCCAGGGGAGCAAACGGG
rnacentral:rRNA from 1 species